rnacentral:misc_RNA from 1 species
UCACAGCUUACGCUGGCAGUCUCACUAGAGUCCUCAGCAUUACCUGGUAGCAACUAAUGAUAGGGGUUGCGCUCGUUACGGGACUUAACCCAACACCUCACGGCACGAGCUGACGACAGCCAUGCAGCACCUAGUUUCGUGCCCUUGCGGGAAGAUCCGUUUCUGGAUCGGUCACUAACUUUCAAGCCCGGGUAAGGUUCCUCGCGUAUCAUCGAAUUAAACCACAUGCUCCUCCGCUUGUGCGGGCCCCCGUCAAUUCCUUUGAGUUUCAAUCUUGCGACCGUACUCCCCAGGUGGAUAACUUAAUGCUUUCGCUUGGUCGCUGACUGUAUAUCGCCAACAACGAGUUAUCAUCGUUUAGGGCGUGGACUAC